rnacentral:sRNA from 1 species
GUCCGGGUAGUGGCCGGUGAAGAUGGUCGGACGGCUGGGGACGCA